rnacentral:rRNA from 1 species
AGAGUUUGAUCAUGGCUCAGAACGAACGCUGGCGGCGUGCCUAACACAUGCAAGUCGGGGGAGAAAGUAGACUUCGGUCUGCGAGUAAACCGGCGCACGGGUGAGUAUAACGUAGGUAACGUACCUUGGAGCCCGGGAUAACCAGUCGAAAGAUUGGCUAAUACCGGAUACGACCGCAGGGGCUUCGGCUUCAGCGGUGAAAGAUGGCCUCUACUUGUAAGCUAUCUCUCCUAGAGCGGCCUGCGCACCAUUAGCUAGUUGGUGAGGUAACGGCUCACCAAGGCUGAGAUGGUUAGCUGGUCUGAGAGGAUGGCCAGCCACACUGGGACUGAGACACGGCCCAGACUCCUACGGGAGGCAGCAGUGGGGAAUCUUGCGCAAUGGGCGAAAGCCUGACGCAGCGACGCCGCGUGGGUGAUGAAGGCCUUCGGGUCGUAAAGCCCUGUCGGGAGGGAAGAAUGUCCCUCGACCUAAUACGUCGGGGGAGUGACGGUACCUCCUAAGGAAGCACCGGCUAACUCCGUGCCAGCAGCCGCGGUAAUACGGAGGGUGCAAGCGUUGUUCGGAAUCACUGGGCGUAAAGGGCGUGUAGGCGGCCUGUUAAGUCUGAUGUGAAAUCCCCUCGCUCAACGAGGGAACUGCGUCGGAAACUGGCAGGCUUGAGUACCGGAGAGGAAGGUGGAAUUCCCGGUGUAGCAGUGAAAUGCGUAGAUAUGCGGAGGAACACCGAUGGCGAAGGCAGUCCCCUGGACCUGUACUGACGCUCAUGCACGAAAGCGUGGGGAGCAAACAGGAUUAGAUACCCUAGUAGUCC